UACAGGGGGGGCAAGCGUUGUUCGGAAUUACUGGGCGUAAAGGGCUCGUAGGCGGCCAACUAAGUCACACGUGAAAUCCCCAGGCUUAACCUGGGAACUGCGUGUGAUACUGGAUGGCUUGAGUUCGGGAGAGGGAUGCGGAAUUCCAGGUGUAGCGGUGAAAUGCGUAGAUAUCUGGAGGAACACCGGUGGCGAAGGCGGCAUCCUGGACCGACACUGACGCUGAGGAGCGAAAGCCAGGGGAGCAAACGGG
rnacentral:rRNA from 1 species